GACGAACGCUGGCGGCGUGCCUAAUACAUGCAAGUCGAGCGAAUCACUGGGAGCUUGCUCCCGGUGGUUAGCGGCGGACGGGUGAGUAACACGUGGGCAACCUGCCUGUAAGACUGGGAUAACACCGGGAAACCGGCGCUAAUACCGGAUAAUCCUUUUCUGCUCAUGCAGGAAAGCUGAAAGUCGGUUUCGGCUGACACUUACAGAUGGGCCCGCGGCGCAUUAGCUAGUUGGGGAGGUAACGGCUCACCAAGGCGACGAUGCGUAGCCGACCUGAGAGGGGAAUAGGCCACACUGGGACUGAGACACGGCCCAGACCCCUACGGGAGGCAGCAGUAGGGAAUCUUCCACAAUGGACGAAAGUCUGAUGGAGCAACGCCGCGUGAGCGAUGAAGGCCUUCGGGUCGUAAAGCUCUGUUGUUAGGGAAGAACAAGUACCGGAGUAACUGCCGGUACCUUGACGGUACCUAACCAGAAAGCCACGGCUAACUACGUGCCAGCAGCCGCAGUAACAC
rnacentral:rRNA from 1 species